GACGAACGCUGGCGGCGUGCUUAACACAUGCAAGUCGAACGAUGAACCCGGAGCUUGCUCCGGUGGAUUAGUGGCGAACGGGUGAGUAACACGUGAGUAACCUGCCCUUGACUCUGGGAUAACUGCGGGAAACUGUAGCUCACACCGCAUACGACCCCCGGAGGCCUCCCCGGGGGGUGGCAAGACUUUCGGUCAAGGAUGGACUCGCGGCCUAUCCGCUAGUUGGUGAGGUAAAGGCUCACCAAGGCGACGACGGGUAGCCGGCCUGAGAGGGUGACCGGCCACACUGGGACUGAGACACGGCCCAGACUCCUACGGGAGGCAGCAGUGGGGAAUAUUGCACAAUGGGCGCAAGCCUGAUGCAGCAACGCCGCGUGAGGGAUGACGGCCUUCGGGUUGUAAACCUCUUUUAGCAGGGAAGAAGCGAAAGUGACGGUACCUGCAGAAAAAGCACCGGCUAACUACGUGCCAGCCGCCGCAGUAA
rnacentral:rRNA from 1 species